UUAAAUUGAAGAGUUUGAUCAUGGCUCAGAUUGAACGCUGGCGGCAGGCCUAACACAUGCAAGUCGAACGGUAACAGGAAACAGCUUGCUGUUUAGCUGACGAGUGGCGGACGGGUGAGUAAUGUCUGGGAAACUGCC
rnacentral:rRNA from 1 species